CUUGGGCUUCCAUGUGCCUGCGUGUGAUGAAAACUAUGUUGGUAGGGACAUCUGAGAGGGUGAUGAAUACCAACAUAUCUGAGCUGGGCAUGGAAUAGCGUGCGUCUGGCAUGGCUGAAACACCACGCGGUCCUUUCUGGGCAGCCAAACGGAGUUUAAGAUGCACCAACUACACUCUUCCCUCUUAUGGCUCCGAAACAGACCUGUCACCGAAUAUGGAGACUUGAUGCUACUUCACAAGGAUUUGAAUUGUACACUUGGAAAGACUUGCAGAAGAAACAUCACCCGGCACUGGAGAUGAAGCUAUAAGCGUGCAAGACUGCCCUAGACAGAGGAUACCUGUGCCUCCAGUGUGAGAAGCUAUUUCCUCUGUUACUGAUGCUGGUGAAGACAAGGCCUUCUUAAUUGAAGGCUUCCAAUGUGUUUCUCAUUGUGAUGGCUGGUGCGGUGGAGCUGUGAAGUGAUCCAGUUGGUGGUGCUACCAGCAAAAAUUUGAGAAUUUGAGAACUGCUGGAUACUUUGUGACAGAAAGCUCUUUCUUGAAUGAAGCUUGUGGGGAGUUUGUGUGAGGAACAAGAUUAACUUACAUCUGAGGAAGGGACUGUGCUGUCUGCAACCUCAUUGGGUGAGGAGGCAACUUUGAAACUACUGUAUGAAGAACUGAGAAGGUGGAAGAUUGCAGAAUAAUGGGUUACACUUGCAUGAACAGCAUUAAAAGAGCCAAGCUUUUUUAACAACACUGGUAACGUUUGCCUGAUACUGACUGGAACCAAUAAAAAUUUGUAAAUUCUA